CCAGACUCCUACGGGAGGCAGCAGUAGGGAAUUUUGCGCAAUGGGGGAAACCCUGACGCAGCAACGCCGCGUGAUUGAUGAAGCCCUUCGGGGUGUAAAGAUCUGUCAGUGGGGACGAAACUUGACGGUACCCACAGAGGAAGCAUCGGCUAACUCCGUGCCAGCAGCCGCGGUAAUACGGGGGAUGCAAGCGUUGUCCGGAAUCAUUGGGCGUAAAGAGUUCGUAGGUGGCACGUUAAGUCUGGUGUUAAAUGCAGAGGCUCAACCUCUGUUCGGCACUGGAUACUGGCGAGCUUGAAUGCGGUAGAGGUAAAGGGAAUUCCUGGUGUAGCGGUGAAAUGCGUAGAUAUCAGGAGGAACAUCGGUGGCGUAAGCGCUUUACUGGGCCGUAAUUGACACUGAGGAACGAAAGCCAGGGUAGCAAAUGGGAUUAGAUACCCGAGUA
rnacentral:rRNA from 1 species